rnacentral:rRNA from 1 species
GUAGGUGGCAAGCGUUGUCCGGAAUUAUUGGGCGUAAAGCGCGCGCAGGCGGUUCUUUAAGUCUGAUGUGAAAGCCCACGGCUCAACCGUGGAGGGUCAUUGGAAACUGGAGAACCUGAGUACAGAAGAGGAAAGCGGAAUUCCACGUGUAGCGGUGAAAUGCGUAGAGAUGUGGAGGAACACCAGUGGCGAAGGCGGCUUUCUGGUCUGUAACUGACGCUGAGGCGCGAAAGCGUGGGGAGCAAACAGGGAUUAGAUACCCUGGUAGUCCACGCCGUAAACGAUGAGUGCUAAGUGUUAGGGGGGUUUCCGCCCCCCUUAGUGCUGCAGCUAACGCAUUAAGCACUCCGCCUGGGGAGUACGGCCGCAAGGCUG